rnacentral:lncRNA from 1 species
AAAGAAUCGGGCCUUUGACUUUGCUUAUGCCAGGACGGGGUUCUCCUCCUGUUUCUGACAUGGCUGUGGGGGUGCAUUAGGACGUUGUAAGGCCUCUCCCCCAAUCCGAUCUCGAGAUAAUCAGACUUUCAUUUUAGGUAUGUUAGGAUGAGGUUCUCCCCCCAUUCCUAACAUAACUUUGUUUUAGAAGUUUGAAGGGGUUAUACCCAGUCGUGACAAAUCCAUGCCAAAUGGGAAGAGCAUGUCAAGUAGAAAGAAAUUGAGAUUCAAGGUGAAAUCAUAAGCGAUACAUUUACAGGUUUUUCGAGUCCCACGGUUGCGGGAGGUCUGCUCCUCCUUGAGGCCCUCCGGCGAUGGAGUCGAUGGUCCCGAUGGGAGGCCGAUCUCCGGGCUGCUCCUCCCUUCUUGGCAGUUCAGGUUGCGGCAGGGCCCUUAGCCGAUCUCCUCUACCCUCAGGCCAGCGUCGGAUGAACCUGUCGAGUCGACCUCGCCGGAUGAGCUCCUUGAUCUCGUCUCAGAGCUGGAUGCAUUCCUCCAUGUCGUGACCGUGGUCGCGGUGGUAGAGACAGAACUUGUUGGGGUUGCGCUUCCCGGGGUGUGUGCGCAUCCUCUCUGGCCUAGGGAGCUACUCCCUGGCCUCCAUCAGUACCUGGGUCUUCGAGGCAUUGAGGGGGGUGUAGUUGCGGAACCUUCCCGGUGGAGAACCCCGCCGAACCCCGCGAUCCGGACUCCUCUGCCUGCGCACCCGGGGUGGAGUAUGGGCACGCUUGUGCCCAGG